rnacentral:rRNA from 1 species
CAGGUCAGGCGGGAUUACCCNCUGAGUUUAACCAUAUCUAUAACGG